rnacentral:rRNA from 1 species
UACGUAGGGGGCGAGCGUUGUCCGGAUUCAUUGGGCGUAAAGAGCGCGCAGGCGGUCGUUCAAGUCGAGUGUGAAAGCCCCCGGCUCAACUGGGGAGGGUCAUUCGAUACUGAUCGACUCGAAGGCAGGAGAGGGAAGCGGAAUUCCCGGUGUAGUGGUGAAAUGCGUAGAUAUCGGGAGGAACACCAGUGGCGAAGGCGGCUUCCUGGCCUGUUCUUGACGCUGAGGCGCGAAAGCUAGGGGAGCAAACGGG